CCACUCCUCUGGAGUCUAUCAUGUGGGCCCAGGAUAGGAGCAGAAAACUGAUUGCAAACAUCUUACACACUGCUAUUUAGAGGAGGUAUUCAGUAACGCAUCCCAGUGGUGAUAGCUGAAUUUGCUGGUUGACUGUAAUCAUCUACUUUAUUCUUGAAAGAUUGGCAGUCAGUGCACAUUGGAAGGUGGUGAGGCAGAUACCAGUGACAAUGAAGGUCUGUUCAUUUCUGCUGAAGCAACUGUAGAGGUUGAGUAUCUGAAAGGCAGAACAGAGGUUUAUAAUGUGCUGCUGGCAAACAAGAUCAUUUAAAGUUUAAACAAUAGAUUAGUGUGAGAAAAUAUUGAUAAUCUGAAGAUUUUGGACCUCUGACAUCUGUAAAUCAUCUCAGGAAUAUGCUUUCUGUUAGAACUGACAGCACUUUUCACUUCUGGUCUGAGCGUCACAAAAGUAAUUUCUCUGAGGAUUCCUUUACAAGUCUUGGCCACAGUUGAAAAUGCAAGCCUUGUGCAUUUAAUUCCCAAUUGUCAGAGAGUUUUGCCCAAUAUUUAAUUAUAAAGAUGGCCAUGGAUGUAAGGAAUUGUUUUUCAGAAGAAUUUGUUAGAUUCAGAAACUGGUUCUCAUAGUAUUUUUGUGUUCUAUAUUUUGUUUUUUUUCUUUCAAGUAACCUGGUUAAAUAACUGGUAGCUCAGAAAAGCAAACAAUUUUUAAAUCUCCAUCUGACUGGUUGCUGGCUACUGAAUAGCCAGGAAGCACAAUUUACAGUCUCACUAAGAAAACAAAAACAGAACAAAAAAUGUAUUUUAUAUCUGAUUUUUAAAACUUUUAAAUGCACCUGCACAACUCAGGACUUUGAACUUCCUUCCAGAAAAAGAAUGCAUUCACCAAAGGUACCCAAGGGCAUCACAGAUCAAAUGUUAGACAAGAUUACACUUCAUUCUGUCUUGCAUCUUGUUCCUCCCAUAUUUUACUUGAGACAUUUGUAUUGAGUUAGUCAUGGUUAUACAAGCCACAUUAGACUAAUGGCAUUCUCACUGUAUCUUUUAAGCAAUAAAGAUCCAAAAACAUUAUAGACUGCAGUUAAGUUGGAAAGUAGGGUUAAGUGAGACAAUUUCCAGCUUCCUUUUAUAAUGACUAUUAAGCUGUUGAUUUUGAACCGCUUAUUCAAAAUAUAGCCACCUUUGUAGAUAGGCGUCUUGGCUAGCUGCACAGCACAUUGAGAGCAUUUAAAGGGCCUUUCACAGGAUUUGCUGUGAUUCAUCUCCUCCAUUCUGCACUAGACCUUUAUUGUGUCUUCUCCACAUUUCUGUGGCCUCCACACCACAUGUGGGCUCCCAGAGAACAAUGCCAGGCACAUCAAUCCUCAUGCUGCUUCAAGGGCACUUCAUGCAUCCUGUUAUUAUGUCUCCAAAUUGUGACUGCGACAUUGAAAUAAGGUUUAGGAAACACUAAGUAAGCAUAGCAUUAGCUGAAAUAUUACAAUAUUUUAACAAAGAAAUUAGGAGGUCAACUGUUUUUUCAACUGAUGGACUUCAGUGAUUAGCAUAACACCUCUCCACAGCCUCCAGGAACAGUGCCAGCAAUCUCCUGCAACUGAUCUUUUUCAAGGUGUCAUAUGGGCUCCAGGAGCCUUGGCUUUAUGACAAGCACUGACUGCCUCUGUGUCCACAAAGAACAGUGAAAGCCAAUCAUGUGCUGUUUGUGCAAUCAAAAGGGAGAGAUAAGAUCGAAAGCACAUAGAAAAGAACAAAGUAAAAUUAAGCUUUGGUUAAAAAUUAAAUAAUUAUAUAUAGCUGGUAAAAACAUGUGAACAAAUAUAUAUAUUAUAUAAUAAAAUCCCAGGUAAGCAGAGAAGGCUUAGCAUUUAACAAACCAAGCACACAUGUAGAUUACUCUAAAGCACAGGAUUUUUUCUGUAUCACACAAUUCUGGCUCCCAACUUUAACUUCUUCAUGGCUGAUCAUUUCAUCUCAACGCAGGGCAUACACUUGAGAGGAAAAUAUUUACCUUAUUUUUAUCUGAAUGAAUAGUCACAAAAGCCACUUGUUACAUACUUUCUCAUGGCAAUAUUGUCAAGCAAAGCACUUUGUUUAAAAAAUUAAGCAGAAGUGUUCAUGUUGUAAUGGUCCCAUAUUCUUUCUGUGAAGAGAUAUGCAUGAAUAAGGUUCCCAUUACCCAAUACAAUUAAAAUAGCAAAUUGCUUCAAAGAGCAAUGUCUCCAUAUUUUGAAAAGUGAAUUUACUAAAUAGUAGUAGUAAGCUGUAUUCUGUUCAGGCAUAUUACACAAAUAGUGAGAGUAUGUAGGUGAAAUGAACAUGCUAGCUAUAAAUAAUCCAUUCAGAUUUUCUUCUAAAAUAUUGACAGGUAGAUGUCUGAAACACUGUAUUUAGGCUUUCUUUUUCCUUCAGAUGAAAGAAAGAAGAUGACUUUUAGCAGCAGAGCAGAUUAUUUGCAGUGCUAAUGUAUUUUAUCCAACAUCAGGCUUGUACAUUUAUCACACUAUGAAGAAUUGUUGCUAUUGCUAGUUGUUGAGGUUUUUCCUUUCAUUUGGAAAUGCUAUAUUCUCCAAUAUGAAAGUUUUGUUCAGGAAUAUACCAUCGUAAGUUUAUCUGACUCUGCAAUGAAGUUACUGUCCAGUGUGGAAAGAUAGAUGCCAGAAUAAAAAGUAGGUGGUUGGUUGCAGAAGUGGAAACUGAUUAACUGAGAUAUGAAUACAGGCUGCACACAACUAGAGAUUUGAAAAACUUUUUCCUUUUUGUUAUCUCAAACUGUUUCUGUGUCUAAAGAGUUUCCGUGGAAAACAUUAGUUUUACUAAUGUAAUUUUACUUAUUUAAUGUAAAUUUACUUAUGUAAUGUAGUUUUACUUAUGCAAUUUUUGAAGUCUUGAUCUUCUGAAAAAUUUGAGUUAAUUGAAAUUUAGAGCUGACUUGUGUUGUUGCCCGUCUGCAGAGCAAGCAACAAUGGACUAUUUGAUUUUUGUUUUUUUUUCCUCAAAGCUGGGCAUGUCUUCUCUCUAUGUUUGAAGGUACUCUAAAAAGUAGUUACCAUUUCAUGACCAUUAAAAAGGAGGAAAUAGCUGAUCCUUUCAUGCUUGGAUGAGAAACUCCUGUACUCAACUCUUAAACGCCAGCAGCUGUUCACGAAAAAUUUGCUAACUUUCAGUAUGCUUCCUUUCAAUAAUAUUCUUUCUUUGAAGAAUAUAUUUAUUUCCAUGCUUGUGCAUUACUGUGCAUACUAAACAUUUGCCAUUCAUUUUUCCUUAACAGAGAAUUCAACAUCAGUAUAAAUGCUGAAUAAUAUAGAUCAGUAUCUAUGAGUUUUCAGGAUGAUAAAAUGAUUCUAUUGCCACCACAAAGUUCACUUUCUUGAUGACUGUAAGAUGCUUUGGAACAUUUUUUUUCAUUUUGUUCUCUCACUAAAACUGAUGUCAUUUCACAUAAGAGAGAAAGUCUGUUCCUGCUUCCUCCAUUUUCAGCUUGCUUGCUUCUCUGUUUUGGGUUAAAGUGUUUUCGUUAUUUGAGAAGAUGACGAUUGAGCUUGAAUGCUUUUUCUAAUUCAUUAAGUUGAUACGCUGAAUGCUAGUGUCGUUCUUCAUUCUCAGUCAUAUCAAAUAGAAAACAGUAUUUUCUGAACUGUGGUUUCUGACUCAGUUAAACUUCAUAUGGUCAUGAUUGGUCUGCUGUUUUUGUAAGGCAAACUAAACCACAGUAAUACAGAUUAUUUAGAUUAUAUCCAAUAUAGGACAAGGACAGUAAGAAUACCUCUAGGUGGCAUAACAAGAUGACUUUUCCUGGAAUGUAAAGCCAACUGAUAACAGCCAGAGCCAUUAACAUGCCAAGAAGCACUUAGAAAUAACAGGGAAAACUGGAUUAAUAAAGUGCAAUUAAUAAUAUUUUCUAAAGUUAAUACAAUAUUCACUGAGUUGGUUAAUGUAAGAUAAUUCCUUAAUUUAUGAAUGUUUCCAUAACUGAAAUUCCAGAAUUGUCAAAAGAUACCAAUUGUCAAAAGAAAGUCACGUGAUAAAAUA